GUGGGACUACCUGCUGAACUUAAGCAUAUCAAUAAGCGGAGGAAAGG
rnacentral:rRNA from 1 species